UACGGGGGGGAGCAAGCGUUGUUCGGAUUUACUGGGCGUAAAGGGCGCGUAGGCGGCCACCGCAAGUCGACUGUGAAAUCUCCGGGCUUAACCCGGAAAGGUCAGCCGAUACUGCGGGGCUAGAGUGCAGAAGGGGCAACUGGAAUUCUCGGUGUAGCGGUGAAAUGCGUAGAUAUCGAGAGGAACACCUGCGGCGAAGGCGGGUUGCUGGGCUGACACUGACGCUGAGGAGCGAAAGCGUGGGGAGCGAACAGG
rnacentral:rRNA from 1 species